rnacentral:misc_RNA from 1 species
GAUGAAGAACGCAGCGAAAUGCGAUACGUAGUGUGAAUUGCAGAAUUCAGUGAAUCAUCGAAUCUUUGAACGCACAUUGCGCCCCCUGGUAUUCCGGGGGGCAUGCCUGUUCGAGCGUCAUUUCACCACUCAAGCCUCGCUUGGUAUUGGGCGACGCGGUCCGCCGCGCGCCUCAAAUCGACCGGCUGGGUCUUUCGUCCCCUCAGCGUUGUGGAAACUAUUCGCUAAAGGGUGCCGCGGGAGGCCACGCCGUAAAACAACCCCAUUUCUAAGGUUGACCUCGGAUCAGGUAGGGAUACCCGCUGAACUUAAGCAUAUCAAUAAGCGGAGGA